UACGAAGGGGGCGAGCGUUGUUCGGAAUUACUGGGCGUAAAGCGCACGUAGGCGGAUAUUUAAGUCAGGGGUGAAAUCCCGGGGCUCAACCCCGGAACUGCCUUUGAUACUGGGUAUCUCGAGUCCGAGAGAGGUGAGUGGAAUUCCGAGUGUAGAGGUGAAAUUCGUAGAUAUUCGGAGGAACACCAGUGGCGAAGGCGGCUCACUGGUCCAUUACUGACGCUGAGGUGCGAAAGCGUGGGGAGCAAACAGG
rnacentral:rRNA from 1 species